rnacentral:misc_RNA from 1 species
GGACGACCAUAAUUGUGUGUAAUUUGAAGGAUGUAUACGUCGUUUGACAAACCACAGUCCAUCUGAAUUAGAAGGUUAUUUUAAUAGUUUACAUUUGUCAAGCUCGAGUUUUCAGAAGCUAUCAUUCCAUUUAAAGGUGUUGACAAUCGGAGAUGACAAGAAUUUCAAGAGGAAGACCCUUCGACAAAGGCUUAGAAUAGGAUGGUACCCCUACGUGAGAUUGAAUAUUUGUAAUUUUUUUCCCUUCUUUCUUUUCAUUUGACUUUAUAAUUCUAUUUCAUUUGUUCAUAAAUU